rnacentral:rRNA from 1 species
CACGUAGGCACCAAGCGUUAUCCGGAUUUAUUGGGCGUAAAGAGCUCGUAGGCGGUUCGGUAAGUCGGGUGUGAAAACUCUGGGCUCAACCCAGAGAGGCCACCCGAUACUGCUGUGACUAGAGUGCGGUAGGGGAGCGGGGAAUUCCUGGUGUAGCAGGUGAAAUGCGCAGAUAUCAGGAGGAACACCAGCGGCGAAGGCGCCGCUCUGGGCCGUAACUGACGCUGAGGAGCGAAAGCAUGGGUAGCAAACAGG